UGACCUCGGAUCAGGUAGGGAUACCCGCUGAACUUAAGCAUAUCAAUAAGCGGAGGAAAAGAAACCAACAGGGAUUGCCUUAGUAACGGCGAGUGAAGCGGCAACAGCUCAAAUUUGAAAUCUGGCCUUUUAGGUCCGAGUUGUAAUUUGUAGAGGAUGUUUUGGGUACCGUUGCAGUUUAAAUUUCUUGGAACAGAAUAGCAGAGAGGGUGAGAGUCCCGUCUGGAAUUGCGAUAGGGCCUAUGURAARCUCCUUCGACGAGUCGAGUUGUUUGGGAAUGCAGCUCUAAAUGGGUGGUAAAUUUCAUCUAAAGCUAAAUAUUGGCCAGAGACCGAUAGCGCACAAGUAGAGUGAUCGAAAGAUGAAAAGCACUUUGAAAAGAGAGUUAAACAGUAUGUGAAAUUGUUGAAAGGGAAGCGCUUGCAACCAGACUUGAGUAUGGCGGUUCCCCCUUGCUUUUGCUUGGGUUAUUCCGUUAUAUCCAGGCCAACAUCGGUUUUAGGGGUUGGUUAAAGACCUUAGGAAUGUAUCUUCUCUCGGGAAGACUUAUAGCCUAGGGUGUCAUGCAACCUCCCGGGACCGAGGAACGCGCUUCGGCGAGGAUGUUGGCGUAAUGGUUGUAAGCGACCCGUCUUGAAACACGGACCAAGGAGUCUAACAUCUAUGCGAGUGUUUGGGUGUCAAACCCGUACGCGGAAUGAAAGUAAACGGAGGUAGGAAGCCUUAAGGCUGCACUAUCGACCGAUCCUGAUAUUUAUGGAUGGAUUUGAGUAAGAGCAUAGCUGUUGGGACCCGAAAGAUGGUGAACUAUGCCUGAAUAGGGUGAAGCCAGRGGAAACYCUGGUGGRGGCUCGCAGCGGUUCUGACGUGCAAAUCGAUCGUCAAAUUURGGUAUAGGGGCGAAAGACUAAUCGAACCAUUAGUAGCUGGUUCCUGCCGAAGUUUCCCUCAGGAUAGCAGUAACGUUUUCAGUUUUAUGAGGUAAAGCGAAUGAUUAGAGGCCUUGGGGUUGGAACAACCUUAACCUAUUCUCAAACUUUAAAUAUGUAAGAAGUCCUUGUUGCUCCGUUGAACGGGGACCGUCGAAUGCACCGUUACUAGUGGGCAAUUUUUGGUAAGCAGAACUGGCGAUGCGGGAUGAACAGAACGCGAGGUUAAGGUGCCGGAAUGCACGCUCAUCAGACACCACAAAAGGUGUUAGUUCAUCCAGACAGCCGGACGGUGGCCAUGGAAGUCGGAACCCGCUAAGGAGUGUGUAAUAACUCACCGGCCGAAUGAACUAGCCCUGAAAAUGGAUGGCGCUCAAGCGUGCUACCCAUACCUCGCCGCCGGGGUAGAAACGAUGCCCCGGCGAGUAGGCAGGCGUGGGGGUCGGUAACGAAGCCUUGGGAGCGAUCCCGGGUUGAACGGCCCCUAGUGCAGAUCUUGGUGGUAGUAGCAAAUACUCAAAUGAGAACUUUGAGGACUGAAGUGGGGAAAGGUUCCAUGUGAACAGCAGUUGGACAUGGGU
rnacentral:ncRNA from 1 species